rnacentral:rRNA from 1 species
UACGUAGGGAGCGAGCGUUGUCCGGAUUCAUUGGGCGUAAAGAGCUCGUAGGCGGCUUGGCAAGUCGGGUGUGAAAACUCCAGGCUCAACCUGGAGACGCCACCCGAUACUGCCAUGGCUAGAGUCCGGUAGGGGACCACGGAAUUCCUGGUGUAGCGGUGAAAUGCGCAGAUAUCAGGAGGAACACCGGUGGCGAAGGCGGUGGUCUGGGCCGGAACUGACGCUGAGGGGCGAAAGCGUGGGGAGCAAACAGG